rnacentral:rRNA from 1 species
UACGAAGGGGGCUAGCGUUGCUCGGAAUUACUGGGCGUAAAGGGUGCGUAGGCGGGUCUUUAAGUCAGGGGUGAAAUCCUGGAGCUCAACUCCAGAACUGCCUUUGAUACUGAAGAUCUUGAGUUCGGGAGAGGUGAGUGGAACUGCGAGUGUAGAGGUGAAAUUCGUAGAUAUUCGCAAGAACACCAGUGGCGAAGGCGGCUCACUGGCCCGAUACUGACGCUGAGGCACGAAAGCGUGGGGAGCAAACAGGG